rnacentral:rRNA from 1 species
UGUAGGCGUAUACCAAAGUUGUUGCAGUUAAAACGCUCGUAGUCGGAAUUUGGCAGUUCCGGAUGUGUGCACGUCGUGUGCGCACUUCGCGGGGAUUGCUUUUGUGGUCUUGCGUAGGAUGAGGCACUUUUAUUAGUGAACGUCCUCACGCAACCACUUUUUACUGUGAGAAAAUCAGAGUGCUCAAAGCAGGCACUUGCCGUGAAUGUAUUAGCAUGGAAUAAUAGAAUAGGACUUGGUUCUAUUUUGUUGGUUUGUUGGGACUGAGUAAUGAUUAAGAGGGACAGUUGGGGGCAUUUGUAUUUCGGUGCUAGAGGUGAAAUUCUUAGAUUACCGAAAGACAAACUGCUGCGAAAGCGUCUGCCAAGGAUGUUUUCAUUGA